AGUGAACGCUGGCGGUAGGCCUAACACAUGCAAGUCGAACGGCAGCACAGUAAGAGCUUGCUCUUACGGGUGGCGAGUGGCGGACGGGUGAGGAAUACAUCGGAAUCUACUUUUUCGUGGGGGAUAACGUAGGGAAACUUACGCUAAUACCGCAUACGACCUACGGGUGAAAGCAGUGGAUCUUCGGACCUUGCGCGAUUGUAUGAGCCGAUGUCGGAUUAGCUAGUUGGCGGGGUAAAGGCCCACCAAGGCGACGAUCCGUAGCUGGUCUGAGAGGAUGAUCAGCCACACUGGAACUGAGACACGGUCCAGACUCCUACGGGAGGCAGCAGUGGGGAAUAUUGGACAAUGGGCGCAAGCCUGAUCCAGCCAUACCGCGUGGGUGAAGAAGGCCUUCGGGUUGUAAAGCCCUUUUGUUGGGAAAGAAAAGCAGCAGGUUAAUACCCCGCUGUUCUGACGGUACCCAAAGAAUAAGCACCGGCUAACUUCGUG
rnacentral:rRNA from 1 species